rnacentral:rRNA from 1 species
CCUACGGGUGGCUGCAGUGGGGAAUAUUGGACAAUGGGGGCAACCCUGAUCCAGCCAUGCCGCGUGUGUGAAGAAGGCCCUCGGGUUGUAAAGCACUUUCAGUGAGGAAGAACGCCUGGUGGUUAAUACCCAUCAGGAAAGACAUCACUCACAGAAGAAGCACCGGCUAACUCCGUGCCAGCAGCCGCGGUAAUACGGAGGGUGCGAGCGUUAAUCGGAAUUACUGGGCGUAAAGCGCGCGUAGGUGGCUUGAUAAGCCGGUUGUGAAAGCCCCGGGCUCAACCUGGGAACGGCAUCCGGAACUGUCAAGCUAGAGUGCAGGAGAGGAAGGUAGAAUUCCCGGUGUAGCGGUGAAAUGCGUAGAGAUCGGGAGGAAUACCAGUGGCGAAGGCGGCCUUCUGGACUGACACUGACACUGGGGUGCGAAAGCGUGGGUAGCAAACAGGAUUAGAUACCCGAGUAGUC